rnacentral:rRNA from 1 species
UGUAGUGUGAACGAUGAUGCAUACAUGUCAACUAUGGGUGUUGGCUCGAACAAUUCGCAUUGGUCUCAAACCAAUGACAUGCAUUUUGAAGACCAUGAGUUCGAGGUGGACGAGGAUGGUGAGGGCAUUGUCGACGCACCGAAAGGAAGAGCGGGCAGUUACACCAACGCCGAAGACAUCUUACUAUACAAUACUUGGUUGCAAGUGUCGAGGGAUCCAUCCGUUGGAGGUGAUCAAAGUAGAGACGCUUAUUGA